rnacentral:rRNA from 1 species
AUUGAACGCUGGCGGCAGGCCUAACACAUGCAAGUCGAGCGGAUGAAGGGAGCUUGCUCCUGGAUUCAGCGGCGGACGGGUGAGUAAUGCCUAGGAAUCUGCCUGGUAGUGGGGGAUAACGUCCGGAAACGGGCGCUAAUACCGCAUACGUCCUGAGGGAGAAAGUGGGGGAUCUUCGGACCUCACGCUAUCAGAUGAGCCUAGGUCGGAUUAGCUAGUUGGUGGGGUAAAGGCCUACCAAGGCGACGAUCCGUAACUGGUCUGAGAGGAUGAUCAGUCACACUGGAACUGAGACACGGUCCAGACUCCUACGGGAGGCAGCAGUGGGGAAUAUUGGACAAUGGGCGAAAGCCUGAUCCAGCCAUGCCGCGUGUGUGAAGAAGGUCUUCGGAUUGUAAAGCACUUUAAGUUGGGAGGAAGGGCAGUAAGUUAAUACGUUGCUGUUUUGACGUUACCAACAGAAUAAGCACCGGCUAACUUCGUG